rnacentral:ncRNA from 1 species
UUGUGAUAAGGGCAAACUAACCGAAAGGUUAGGACGCAAAGUCGUAAGCCGUAAGGAAUUAUUUCCAGGUAGUUAGACUGCAAUC